CCUACGGGAGGCAGCAGUGAGGAAUAUUGGUCAAUGGGCGCGAGCCUGAACCAGCCAAGUAGCGUGAAGGAUGACUGCCCUACGGGUUGUAAACUUCUUUUAUAAAGGAAUAAAGUGAGGCACGUGUGCCUUUUUGUAUGUACUUUAUGAUUAAGGAUCGGCUAACUCCGUGCCAGCAGCCGCGGUAAUACGGAGGAUCCGAGCGUUAUCCGGAUUUCUUUGGUUUCAAGGGAGCGUAGAUGGUUUGUUAAGUCAGUUGUGAAAGGUUGGGGCUCAACCGUAAAAUUGCAAUUGAUACUGGUGGUCGUGAGUACAGUUGAGGUAGGCGGAAUUCGUGGUGUAGCGGUGAAAUGCUUAGAUAUCACGAAGAACUCCGAUUGCGAAGGCAGCUUACUAAACUGCCACUGACAUUGAUGCUCGAAAGUGUGGGUAUCAAACAGGAUUAGAUACCCGGGUAGUC
rnacentral:rRNA from 1 species